AUCGGAAUCUACUCUGUCGUGGGGGAUAACGUAGGGAAACUUACGCUAAUACCGCAUACGACCUACGGGUGAAAGCAGGGGAUCUUCGGACCUUGCGCGAUUGAAUGAGCCGAUGUCGGAUUAGCUAGUUGGCGGGGUAAAGGCCCACCAAGGCGACGAUCCGUAGCUGGUCUGAGAGGACGAUCAGCCACACUGGGACUGAGACACGGCCCAGACUCCUACGGGAGGCAGCAGUGGGGAAUUUUGGACAAUGGGCGAAAGCCUGAUCCAGCAAUGCCGCGUGUGUGAAGAAGGCCUUCGGGUUGUAAAGCACUUUUGUCCGGAAAGAAAUGGCUCUGGUUAAUACCUGGGGUCGAUGACGGUACCGGAAGAAUAAGGACCGGCUAACUACGUGCCAGCAGCCGCGGUAAUACGUAGGGUCCAAGCGUUAAUCGGAAUUACUGGGCGUAAAGCGUGCGCAGGCGGUUGUGCAAGACCGAUGUGAAAUCCCCGAGCUUAACUUGGGAAUUGCAUUGGUGACUGCACGGCUAGAGUGUGUCAGAGGGGGGUAGAAUU
rnacentral:rRNA from 1 species